rfam:Lobosporangium transversale strain NRRL 3116 BCR41scaffold_129, whole genome shotgun sequence.
GCUCGUUUAGCUUAGUCGGUAGAGCGUCGUGCUAAUAACGCGAAGGUCGCAGGUUCGAUCCCUGCAAUGAGCA